UAUUAUUCUGAAAUUAUGCAGACCACCGUGAAUCCUCAACAUGUUCUACUAGCUGAUAAUGACUUUCAUAACCAUAGAUAUUGUUCCUAUCAUCACUUGUUUCGCCAUAUGGAAAUGGACUCCCAAACAAAUAAUCAGCACUCCCUUUCCAUUGAUUGCUGUCAUUUCCACAAUCCCCCAUUUCUUGAAAAUCUUCCACUCUCCUUCCAUAACGAGACAGGCAAGGCCAGUACCCAAAUAUACCUUCACAAAGAUCCAUAGCUUCUAACCCAUACCCAGAUGGAAUUUGAGGGACAAUCACUUGUUUCUCAUACUCAUAAUCGAUUUCUCCCCUUGAUCCAUCACCAUACCCUUCCUUGGUUUCUUCUCCUUGGCGAUUGCCAUGAUCAUGCUCAUACUCAUCGAGCUGCCGUAGCUGCUGCUUCUCUGUCUCGUUGAUGGAAGUUGGUUUGCUUUCAGUCUGGGGUGUUGCUGUAUGCUCUUCAUGUUCCUUUUUCUCAAUAGGUGCUGUGAUCGGCCCAGAAGAGACACCAUUUGAAGGUAAAGUAGCUGGAUCAGGUGUAGAGCGAGCAUAACAAGUUUCAGCAGAAGGGGGAAGGGGUUUGCCGUAGGUUAGAGUAAGAUCAUAGCCACCGCCAUAAGGUGUUGGAUCAUAGUCUUCAAAAUCAGGCUCAUUAAACUCUGAAACAGAGUAAGAGACUAUGAACCGAGUCUGAGCAGGAAAAUAAAGAGCAGGGUCAUACUGAAUAUUCUUAGGCUCGCAGGAAGUGUAUACAGAAUAUGCAGUUCUUGAGCAGCUUGAAACUGGAUCAUAAGCAGCAGCAAAAAGGGGAAUCGGAUCAUAGGCAAAAAUU
rnacentral:misc_RNA from 1 species